rnacentral:misc_RNA from 1 species
AAUUUCUCAAGCUUGGAUGGCUUUUUUGUAUGUCCUUAGCCUUGGUUGUUGGGCUUUGCCGUGUCCUUUGUUGGGACGGCUGGCCUUAAAAGCAUUAGCUGAUACUUGUGUGGCACUGGUUCUACUCAGCGUGAUAACAGUCUGAUCGCUGAGGACAUCUUUUGGGAUGGCUAGUUCUCAUUUGGGUUGCUUCCAAACUUGGUUUUACAGAUUCUUCAAUCUGUGUUCCACUUUUCAG